UGUGUUAUAGCCAACGCUUUCAUACAUGAUAUCUCCCAAAUGUUUUUCCUUUUGCUUUUUAUUCUUGAACUUUCUGAGUUUGUGCCAUUAUACUUCAAAAUGAGUAGUACUGUGUUGGUGACCAUUGGCUGAUGUUGGUGACCAUUGGCUGUGUGUAGCAUACUUGUAACUUCUUCAUUGGAAUAGUAUUUUUUGACUAAUGGGUUUAAACUUCCAACAAUUAUUUGAUUCACUAACACCUUAUGAUGCAUCCACUGUGUUAUUCGUUUGAAAUAACUCCUCUCUCUCUUUAUCUCUUCCUCUAACGUCCAACAAUUUAGUAUCAUACUUAUUUUUUUCUAUAUUCACUUCUGCUUGGAUUCCAGCUCAUGUUGUUCUUGAAUUAGUAGCCCUAAUAGUAGCAUAUUACAGGUAUUUUUUGAUUCUCUUUUGGUGUUUUCAUGUUAUGAAAAAAAAUCGAUUGUAAAUAAAUUGAUGAUGAUCAAUCUUACACCAUUGUUUGGUAAUACCAAGCUAGCUGUAAUGGUAACUUCCCUACUAGACAACUACACUAUGUUAACUUCCCU
rnacentral:lncRNA from 1 species